rnacentral:rRNA from 1 species
AACGAACGCUGGCGGCACGCCUAACACAUGCAAGUCGAGCGCAGUCCUUCGGGACCGAGCGGCGGACGGGUUAGUAACGCGUGGGAACAUACCCUUCUCUACGGAAUAGCCUCGGGAAACUGAGAGUAAUACCGUAUAAGCCCUUCGGGGGAAAGAUUUAUCGGUGAAGGAUUGGCCCGCGUAAGAUUAGAUAGUUGGUGGGGUAAUGGCCUACCAAGUCUACGAUCUUUAGCUGGUUUGAGAGGAUGAUCAGCAACACUGGGACUGAGACACGGCCCAGACUCCUACGGGAGGCAGCAGUGGGGAAUCUUAGACAAUGGGGGAAACCCUGAUCUAGCGAUGCCGCGUGUGUGACGAAGGCCUUAGGGUCGUAAAGCACUUUCGCCAAGGAUGAUAAUGACAGUACUUGGUAAAGAAACCCCGGCUAACUCCGUGCCAGCAGCCGCGGUAAUACGGAGGGGGUUAGCGUUGUUCGGAAUUACUGGGCGUAAAGCGCACGUAGGCGGACUUUUAAGUUAGAGGUGAAAUCCCAGGGCUCAACCCUGGAACUGCCUUUAAUACUGGAAGUCUUGAGUUCGAGAGAGGUAAGUGGAAUUCCAAGUGUAGAGGUAAAAUUCGUA